rnacentral:rRNA from 1 species
AUUGAACGCUGGCGGCAGGCCUAACACAUGCAAGUCGAGCGAGCGGCGGACGGGUGAGUAAUGUAUGGGGACUGCCCGAUCGAGGGGGAUAACUACUGGAAACGGUGGCUAAUACCGCAUACUAUCGGAUAACCCAUAUGGGAUUAGCUAGUAGGUGGGGUAAAGGCUCACCUAGGCGACGAUCUCUAGCUGGUCGGAGAGGAUGAUCAGCCACAUGGGGACUGAGACACGGCCCAGACUCUAACGGAGGCAGAGGUGGGGAAUAUUGCACAAUGGGCGCAAUCCUGAUGAGGCAAUGCCGCGUGUAUGAGGAAGGCCUUAGGGUGGUAAAGUACUUUCAGCGGGGAGGCGUUACCCGAAGAAAAAGCACCGGCUAACUCCGUGCCAGCAGCCGCGGUAAUAC